rnacentral:tRNA from 1 species
AGAAAGUUAGUCUAACGCCAAGACAGUUGAUUUCGACUCAACAAAUCAUAACUCAGCCUUAUGACUUUCUU